UGAUCAGAAGUCAGUGGUUAAUGUUACUGUGGUCCUUUGUACAAGAAGAGAAUUUUUCUCUUGCUGCUUUCAAGAUUCUCUGUUUUUUCACAGUUUGACUGUGAUGUUUCUGGGAGUGGAUAUAUUUGUUUUCAUUUUACUAAGGGUAAAUGUUGACUUUAUAGAUUACUGUUUUAAGUCAAGUGUGGUAAGCUUUCAGCUAUUAUUUCUCCGGGUAUAUUCUCCUUUUCUCUUUUUUCUGAGACUUUUUCCGCCUACAUUGGUGUGCUUGAUGAUGCCUCAUGCGUCAGUUUUCUUCAGUCUCUUUUCUCUUUGUUUUUCAGAUCGUGUAAUUCUUUUGCAUCUUCAAGUUUACUGAGUCUUCUGCCAUCUCAAGUUUGCUGUUACAUCUCUCACAUCUUCUUCCUGAGUGACCUUACGCCCUGCAUUGCUGUAAAGCCACCACCAAGAAGACUCUCACCAGAUGCGUUCCCUGGACUUAGGACUUCCCAGCCUCUGAAACUGCAAGUAUGACGACUGCUUC